rnacentral:rRNA from 1 species
UACGUAGGGUGCAAGCGUUGUCCGGAAUUAUUGGGCGUAAAGAGCUCGUAGGCGGUCUGUCGCGUCGGCUGUGAAAACCCAGGGCUCAACCCUGGGCCUGCAGUCGAUACGGGCAGACUAGAGUCCGGCAGGGGAGACUGGAAUUCCUGGUGUAGCGGUGAAAUGCGCAGAUAUCAGGAGGAACACCGGUGGCGAAGGCGGGUCUCUGGGCCGGAACUGACGCUGAGGAGCGAAAGCGUGGGGAG